CCUACGGGAGGCAGCAGUGAGGAAUAUUGGUCAAUGGGCUUACGCCUGAACCAGCCAAGUCGCGUGUGGGAAGACGGUCCUCUGGAUUGUAAACCACUGUCCCCAGGGACGAAGAUGACGGUACCUGGGGAGGAAGCUCCGGCUAACUACGUGCCAGCAGCCGCGGUAAUACGUAGGGAGCGAGCGUUGUCCGGAAUUACUGGGUGUAAAGGGAGCGUAGGCGGGACUGCAAGUUGGGUGUCAAAUCUACCGGCUCAACCGGUAGCCGCACUCAAAACUGCAGUUCUUGAGUGAAGUAGAGGCAGGCGGAAUUCCUAGUGUAGCGGUGAAAUGCGUAGAUAUUAGGAGGAACACCAGUGGCGAAGGCGGCCUGCUGGGCUUUUACUGACGCUGAGGCUCGAAAGUGUGGGGAGCAAACAGGAUUAGAUACCCGAGUAGUC
rnacentral:rRNA from 1 species